GGGGUUGUAGCUCAGUGGUAGAGCACUCGCCUCACAUGCGUAGGGCAUUGAGUUUGAUCCUCAGCACCACA
rnacentral:tRNA from 1 species